rnacentral:rRNA from 1 species
CCUACGUGUGGCUGCAGUGAGGAAUAUUGGUCAAUGGUCGGGAGACUGAACCAGCCAAGCCGCGUGAGGGAGGAAGGUACAGAGUAUCGUCAACCUCUUUUGUCAGGGAACAAAGACUGGGACGCGUCCACGGAUGAGUGUACCUGAAGAAAAAGCAUCGGCUAACUCCGUGCCAGCAGCCGCGGUAAUACGGAGGAUGCGAGCGUUAUCCGGAUUUAAUGGGGUUAAGGGGUGCGCGGGCGGUCUGUUAAGUCGGCGGUCAAAGCCCGGGGCUCACCCCCGGCCCGCCGUUGAAACUGGCAGUCUCGAGUUGGAGAGAAGUAUGCGGAAUGCGCGGUGUAGCGGUGAAAUGCAUAGAUAUCGCGCAGAACUCCGAUUGCGAAGGCAGCAUGCCGGCUCCACACUGACGCUGAGGCACGAAAGCGUGGGUAUCGAACAGGAUUAGAUACCCUGGUAGUC